rnacentral:rRNA from 1 species
UACAGAGGGGGCAAGCGUUGUUCGGAAUUACUGGGCGUAAAGGGCGCGUAGGCGGCCUUCUAAGUCGAACGUGAAAUCCCCGGGCUCAACCCGGGAACUGCGUCCGAUACUGGAAGGCUUGAAUCCGGGAGAGGGAUGUGGAAUUCCAGGUGUAGCGGUGAAAUGCGUAGAUAUUCGCAAGAACACCAGUGGCGAAGGCGGCUCACUGGCCCGGUACUGACGCUGAGGCACGAAAGCGUGGGGAGCAAACGGG